GGAGAUUUAGCUCAGCGGCAUAAGCGCCUGCCUGGCAAGCAGGCAGUCGUGAGUUCAAUCGCCG
rfam:Cavia porcellus supercont2_2 genomic scaffold, whole genome shotgun sequence.